rnacentral:misc_RNA from 1 species
UCCGAGUUGACCCCGGCAGUCUCCUAUGAGUCCCCGACAUUACUCGCUGGCAACAUAGGACGAGGGUUGCGCUCGUUGCGGGACUUAACCCAACAUCUCACGACACGAGCUGACGACAGCCAUGCAGCACCUCGACUCAAGUCUCUCGCGAGAAGUCCCCGUUUCUGAGGAUGUUCUUAAGCCGUUCGAGCCCAGGUAAGGUUCUUCGCGUUGCGUCGAAUUGAACCACAUGCUCCACCGCUUGUGCGGGCCCCCGUCAAUUCCUUUGAGUUUCAGCCUUGCGACUGUACUCCCCAGGCGGCAUAUUUAACGCGUUAGCUCCGGCACGGAUCAACUGAAUGACCCACACCAAAUAUGCAUCGUUUAGGGCGUGGACUAC